AUACUUACCUGGCGUAGAGGGAUACCGCAAUCAUGCAGGCGGUUCCCCCGGGGCGAAGCUGCUCCAUUGCACUGCGGAGUGGUUGACCCUUGCGAUUAUUUUUACCAAUAAAAAAUCAUUAAUAAAAAAUGUAUACCCGAAUAAUUAUUUUCUUUAUACCUCGAAUAGAACUUAAAAUUAAUAUUUUCGUAAUAUGGAACUUCGUUCGUGUCCGGU
rnacentral:snRNA from 9 species